GUCUAUGGCCAUGCCAUCCUGAACGUGCCCGAUCUCGUCUGAUCUCAGAAGCUAAGCAGAGUCAGACCUGCUUAGUACUUGGAUGGGAGACCACCCAGGAAGACCAGAUGCUGUAGGCG
rnacentral:rRNA from 1 species